GGCUGUGCGGCUGCUUGAUUUUCAUUGUCUAGUGGCAGCCAAAAUUGGAAAAGAGAGAAGUGCAGACUUUAAAGGCAAGCAGCGACAGCUCAUCAGCAGUCUAACAACACGACAGAUGACAGGCCCAGAGGCACACCCAGGGCCGCCAGCCCAUCAGCCUGUGCAGGAUGUCAAAGAGCAGCUGCAGCAAAGGAAGAAGAUCAUCCAGACUUAAAUGUUUGGGCUUUGCUAAGACCAUAGAGCCUUUGUGCUUUGGAAACAGUCUUCCAUACCAAGGCCCCUUCCUAGAAAACAGUGGAAAGAAACCAAGGCACAGGAAGAAAGCAUUGAGGUCAUAGGGCAGCUCAGGUCCACCUGUGGUGAUUGAAAACAGGUGAUGAGAUUGGGUUGAUUUUAUUUUGGAAAAGUAAAUUAGUGCUGCACCACUUGGACAUGGCUAAUUCAUGAAGCCUCUGGUUUGUAUUAGACACCCAACAUGCCUUUCAGAAAGAAAUGACACAACAAUUAAUGUGUCAAAUAAUAAUGUGCCACUCGGAGAAAGAUAAUUGUACCCAGCGUCAGGUAGUUAUUAGGUCGAACGAAUGCUCAUCCUUUCAAAGGCAACAGCAUCUAUUCACUCUGGCAUCCUACUGUAAGUACAGUAUUGUGUUCAUAAUCACACAGACUGAAGCCAGGAACACUGGGUUUUAUCUGAUUUUUCUCCAUUUGGAAUUGUACUCCGAUGAUUCCCUAAACAGCAAACUCAGUCAUGUGAAACACAAAUGAGUGUGAUGAAAGACAGAUUGUUAUACUGGAAGAGAGGUUUUC
rnacentral:lncRNA from 1 species